rnacentral:sRNA from 1 species
AAGUAAAAGUCGUAACAAGGUUUCCGUAGGUGAACCUGCGGAAGGAUCAUUAUUGAAGUUCUAGGGAAUUACUGUUGCUGGCUUUUAACAAGGCAUGUGCACGUAUUCUCUCUUCUCUUCAUCCACCUGUGCACUUUUUGUAGAAGUUCUUCUGGAAUUAGCGUGUAAGGGUUUCGACUCUUAUACUGUUGUUCUAAAGACUUCUAUGUUUUAUACACCAAUUAAAGCAUGUUUUAGAAUGUCUUUUUAUUGGGACUUAAUUGGCCCUUUAAACUAUGUACAACUUUCAGCAACGGAUCUCUUGGCUCUCCCAUCGAUGAAGAACGCAGCGAAAUGCGAUAAGUAAUGUGAAUUGCAGAAUUCAGUGAAUCAUCGAAUCUUUGAACGCACCUUGCGCCCUCUGGUAUUCCGGAGGGCAUGCCUGUUUGAGUGUCAUUAAAUUCUCAACUUCAAUAGUUUUUACAACUUGUUGAAGCUUGGAUGUGGAGGUUUGCUGGCGUCUUAGAUGUUCGGCUCCUCUUAAAUGCAUUAGUGGAACCCGUUUGUUGGACCAUCCUUGGUGUGAUAAUUAUCUACACUUUGGACUAAUCUGACAGCUCCAUUGAACUUUUCUCAGUUACUGGUUGGGGCUUUGCAUUAAUUUGCUUUGCCUGUUUUCUUCAGUGGCUGGUUGGGACUUUGCAUUAGUUUGCUCUGUCUGUUCUGUUCAUUAGAGUAGGAAAGUCUGCUUUCUAACUGUCUGUGUAUUCGGACAAUUUAUUGACCAUUUGACCUCAAAUCAGGUAGGACUACCCGCUGAACUUAAGCAUAUCAWUAAGCGGAGGAAAAGAAACUAACAAGGAUUCCCCUAGUAACUGCGAGUGAAGAGGGAAAAGCUCAAAUUUAAAAUCUGGCAGUCUUCGAUUGUCCGAGUUGUAAUUUAGAGAAGCGCUACCCGUGUUGGACCGUGUACAAGUCUCCUGGAAUGGAGCGUCA